rnacentral:lncRNA from 1 species
UGCGCGCAUGCGGUGAUCAGACUUCACGUGAAAUGAUGCGAGAUCACAUCUCUUCAUGGAAUUUUUGAUCUCCUUAUUAGGUGAUCUGAGAUUAGGAUUGAAUCUCCUAUCCACAUAGAUUUUUGAGGAUUUUUUUGAUUUGAGAAAGGAUACAAAAAUUAUUAAAAAAUAUGUCUUAAAAUCAAUCAUCGAGAUUAUAGAUGAUUGUGCUCCAUAUAAAUAUAUGAAUUAUAAAAUGAUAAAUGUUAUCUGACAGAUUCAUCAUAAGAAAUAUAUCUUCUAAAG